UGGGAUUAAAGAGGUGCCACACUGUACC
rnacentral:piRNA from 1 species